rnacentral:lncRNA from 1 species
AUGUACUCAGCUGCAGAAUCGCCCGUUGUUUUGUGCUCUUCAGCAGAAGGGAGCCUUUCAUCUGAGGCAGUCUGGGUGGGCGCGCCGCUGUCUGUCUGUCUGUCUGUCCAGUUCAUAAAGCCUGCCUGUCUGUCUGUCAUUCUGUAUGCCUGCCUGUCUGUCUCUCAUUCUGUCUGCCUGCCUGCCUGUCUGUCUGACUGCCUGUCUGUCAUUCUGUCUGUCUGUCGGCCUGCCUGCCUGUCUACCUGCCAUUUUGUCUGUCUGCCUGUCUGUCAUUCUGUCUGCCUGUCUGUGAUUCUGCCUGUCUGUCUACCAGUCAUUCUGUCUGCCUGCCUGUCUGUCUGUCUACCUGACUGCCUGUCUGUCAUUCUGUCUGCCUGCCUGUCUGUCUACCUGUCUGUCUGCCUGUGUGUCAUUUUGCCUACCUGCCUGUCUGUGAUUUUGCCUGUCUGUCUGUCAUUCUGUCUGCCUGCCUGUGUGUCUGUCUGUCAUUCUGUCUGCCUGUCUGUCAUUUUGUCUGCCUGUCUGUCAUUCUGUCUGCCUGCCUGUCUGUCUGUCUACCUGUUAUUCUGUCUGCCUGCCUGUCUGUCUGCCUGCCUGCCAUUCUGUCUGUCUACCUGUCUGCCUGUCUGUCAUUCUGUCUGCCUGUGUGUCAUUCUGCCUACCUGUCAGCCUGCCUGUCUGUCUACCUGUCUGUCAUUCUGUCUGCCUGUCUGUCAUUUUGUCUGCCUGUGUGUCAUUCUGCCUACCUGUCUGCCUGCCUGUCUGUCUACCUGUUAUUCUGUCUGCCUGCCUCUCUGUCUGCCUGCCUGCCAUUCUGUCUGCCUGUGUGUCAUUCUGCCUACCUGUCUGUCUGCCUGUCUGUCUACCUGUCUGUCAUUCUGUCUGCCUGUCUGUCAUUCUGUCUGCCUGUGUGCCAUUCUGCCUACCUGUCUGCCUGUCUGUCUACCUGUCUGUCAUUCUGUCUGUCAUUUUGUCUGCCUGUGUGUCAUUCUGCCUACCUGUCUGCCUGCCUGUCUGUUUACCUGCCUGCCAUUCUGUCUGUCUACCUGUCUGUCAUUCUGUCUGCCUGUGUGUCAUUCUGCCUACCUGUCUGCCUGCCUGUCUGUCUACCUGUCUGUCAUUCUGUCUGUCAUUUUGUCUGUCUACCCGUCUGCCUGUCUGUCAUUCUGUCUGCCUGUGUGUCAUUCUGUCUACCUGUCAGCCUGCCUGUCUGUCUACCUGUCUGUCAUUUUGUCUGUCAUUCUGUCUGCCUGUGUGUCAUUCUGCCUACCUGUCUGCCUGCCUGUCUGUCUACCUGUCUGUCAUUCUGUCUGUCAUUUUGUCUGUCUACCCGUCUGCCUGUCUGUCAUUCUGUCUGCCUGUGUGUCAUUCUGUCUACCCGUCUGCCUGCCUGUCUGUCUACCUGUUAUUCUGUCUGCCUGCCUGCCAUUCUGUCUGUCUACCCGUCUGCCUGUCUGUCAUUCUGUCUGCCUGUGUGUCAUUCUGUCUACCUGUCAGCCUGCCUGUCUGUCUACCUGUCUGUCAUUUUGUCUGUCAUUCUGUCUGCCUGUGUGUCAUUCUGCCUACCUGUCUGCCUGCCUGUCUGUCUACCUGUUAUUCUGUCUGCCUGCCUGCCAUUCUGUCUGUCUACCUGUCUGCCUGUCUGUCAUUCUGUCUGCCUGUGUGUCAUUCUGCCUACCUGUCUGCCUGCCUGUCUGUCUACCUGUUAUUCUGUCUGCCUACCUGUCUGCCUGCCUGUCUGUCUACCUGUUAUUCUGUCUGCCUGCCUGUCUGUCUGCCAUUCUGUCUGUCUACCUGUCUGUCAUUCUGUCUGCCUGUGUGUCAUUCUGCCUACCUGUCUGCCUGUCUGUCUACCUGUCUGUCAUUCUGUCUGUCAUUUUGUCUGCCUGUGUGUCAUUCUGCCUACCUGUCUGCCUGCCUGUCUGUUUACCUGUCUGUCAUUCUGUCUGCCUGUGUGUCAUUCUGCCUACCUGUCAGCCUGCCUGUCUGUUUACCUGUCUGUCAUUCUGUCUGCCUGUGUAUCAUUCUACCUACCUGUCAGCCUGCCUGUCUGUCUACCUGUCUGUCAUUCUGUCUGCCUGUCUGUCGUUGUGUCUACCUGCAUGGUGGAAUGCACCUGAUUUCUUUUGCCUCUUCCAUACAUCCCGUUAG